GAUCCUGGCUCAGAUUGAACGCUGGCGGCGUGCUUAACACACGCAAGUCGCGCGUGAAAGGACUUCGGUCCGAGUAAAGCGGCGCACGGGUGAGUAACGCGUGGAUGAUCUACCCAUGAGUUAGGAAUAACGGCUGGAAACGGUCGCUAAUACCAAAUACGCUCCGAUUUCAACUUCGGGGGAAAGGUGGCCUCUGCUUGCAAGCUACUGCUCAUGGAUGAGUCCGCGUCCCAUUAGCUAGUUGGUGGGGUAACGGCCCACCAAGGCGACGAUGGGUAGCCGGUCUGAGAGGAUGACCGGCCACACUGGGACUGGAACACGGCCCAGACUCCUACGGGAGGCAGCAGUGGGGAAUAUUGCGCAAUGGGCGAAAGCCUGACGCAGCGACGCCGCGUGAGGGAUGAAAGGUCCUCGGAUCGUAAACCUCUGUCAGGAGGGAAGAACCGCCACGGUGCUAAUCAGCCGUGGUCUGACGGUACCUCCAAAGGAAGCACCGGCUAACUCCGUGCCAGCAGCAGC
rnacentral:rRNA from 1 species